ACGUAGGUGGCGAGCGUUGUCCGGAAUUACUGGGCGUAAAGAGCGCGCAGGCGGCUGGUCAAGUCCGACGUGAAAUCUCCCGGCUUAACUGGGAAAUUGCAUCGGAAACUGAUCGGCUUGAAGGUGGGAGAGGGUAGCGGAAUUCCCGGUGUAGUGGUGAAAUGCGUAGAUAUCGGGAGGAACACCAGUGGCGAAGGCGGCGCACUGGACCACAACUGACGCUGAGGCGCGAAAGCUAGGGGAGCAAACAGGA
rnacentral:rRNA from 1 species